UUUUCUAAAAAUUAAAAAAAACCCGUAUCUGUAAUAAAGUUAUGUGAAUGUGGGGUCUCUCUCAACAUGUCUCACUGUCCUGUACUCACCCUCCGUCUGAGGACAGGUGGUGAUAAGACCCCUGCGUGGUGACAUGAAGCGACACGAAUGACGCAGGUGGCUGUGACGGAGUGGUAGGCCACCACUGACCUCCUGACCACACAGCAGAAGGAGCAUCAUUUGCUCCUGGCCGAAGCUGACCCCGGGUAAUGGACCGAGGAAAGUGGAACUUCAGAUAAGGUUAACUACUGAGGUUCACUACUGAACUGCGGCUGAGGUUAACUGCAUGAGGGUACCUAAUGUAGGUUUCCUUCUACUCCUCAAACUGACUUUUGUCAAAAACAGCGUAUGUAGCCCACUCAUCUCUGCUCAGGCCCAAGCCUCUGUGGGAGGUCUGGGGGUCCUCAGGCUAUGGGUGGGCUUUCUCUCCCCUUCAGUGGUCUCCCACUGGGUGCACAGUGUCUCUUGGUGUAUUUGGAAAUAUUUUUGGUGAUCACCAUGGUUGGUCACCCCUCCCCAGUGACGGGCAUUCAGCGUCUGGGGCUAGGAACACUGAGUGUCCUACAUUGCGUUGGACAGUUUCAUCCAGUUAAGAUUUGUCCCACCCCAAAUGCCAAUAGCUGGGUUAGCUGACCCUCAGGACCCAAAGAUGGACAACACAACCAGCCGGCUCUGUUUGUGAGGGGCUUUGAAGAAGACUAGGAAAACUCAGAGAAGUCAUCUCAAUGUGCACUCCGAGGGCCUCAGAUUCUACCACCAGAGCUCUGUUUGGGGAUCAGGAAGCCUGUCAGCCUUGUCCUAACGGUACCCGUAUGAAAUACAAACACCCAAGAAGAGGUCAAGUCAUGAGCAUUGUCAGCCAUAACUAGGAUUUCAACUCUUAUUGAUAAUUCUGAUAAGAGUGCAGAGUGUGCUGUGAUGCUCUAAAAAAAUACAGAUUCCUGGGUAUGAUUCAGUAGACGUGGUCACCAGCCGCAAUGAUCCCUGUCCCCUGAUAGUCACACCUUUGUGUGGUCCCUUCUGCACCGGUAUGUGCAACCGACAUAUAGCAUGUGGCAGAGGGAUAGCACGUCACUUCGAGAUUACGUUAUAAAAGAUCGGGACUUCUGUGUUGGAUGCUCGCCCUUCUCACCUGUUCUCGUUCUCAUUCUCUCUCUCUUUCUCUCAGAUCACUUGCUUUGGAGGAAGCCAGCUGUCAGGGUGUGAGGACACUCAAGCAGUUUAUGAAGAGGUCCACGUGGCAAGGAACUGAAGCCUUUUGCCAACAACCGAGGUGGAAGUGAAGGAGCCGUGUGAGGGGGCCAGGAUGGAAGGAGGCCCUCCAGCCGCAGUCAAGCCUUCAGAUGGCUGCAACCCUGGCCAUCAGCCUGCCUACAAGUCCAGGAGAGACCCUGAGCCAGAACCCCAGCCAAGCUCCUCCCAGAUCCCUGGCCCUCUGAAAGGUCCCUCCAUGCUGAAGGCCAUCUCCCCUCGCCACCCAAGGAAAAGUGACCUCGGGAAUUCUGGCUGAUCCCACACAGACAGGACGAUGGAAAAAGGAGCCGUGGUCGAUGGUGUCAGCACGGAGUUGAAUUGUGGGACACUCCACUGGCAUCAGAAAACUGCUUGGUGGCGAUGGAAAAAACCCCACACACAUCAGAACUGGUGUCAGAAUCGGACCAUGUGACUCAGCAAUUCCAUUUCCCAGGCACCUACCCGAAAGAGUUGCAAAUAGGGACUCAACAAAUACUUGCACACGAAUGUUCAUAGCAGAAUAAUUGACAAUAGCCAAAGCGUGGAAAGAACUCAAACGCCCAUCAGCAGAUGAAUGGAUGGACAAAGAGUGACAGACCCACAUGAUGAAAUACAUGCCACAGUGUGGACGAACCUCAAAAUUUUAUGCUGAGUGAAAGACGGUAGGCCCAAAAGGCCACAUAUGAUCCCACUCAUCUAAAUAACCGGAGGAGAGAAAUUCACAGAAACAGAAAGCAGAUCGGUGGUUGCCAGGAAUAAGAGGGAAAUGGAGAGUCACCGCUUAGGGGACAUCGAUUUUCUUCUGGGGGGGUUGAAAAUGUUUUGGAACUAGGUAGAGGGGAUAGUUACACACUAUUAUGAAAAUAUGAGAUGACACGCAAUUGAACGCUUUAAAAUGGUUAAUGUGGGGGGCGCCUGGUUGGUUCAGUGGGUUGAGCAUCCGGCUGUUGGUUUGGGCUCAGGUCAGGGUCUUGUGGUUUGUGACACUGAGCCCCGCCCGUGCUGGGUUCCACAGCACGGAGCCUGCGGGCUUCUCUCUCUCCCUCUCUCUCAGCCCCUGCCCUGCUCGAACUCACACGUGUACGUGCUCUCUCUCCAAAAUAAACCUGAGAUGAGACAACCUGGUAUAAAAUCAAACACUACACCAGGGGUUCUCAAAGUGGGGCCCCUGGACCAGCAGCACCAACGUCCCCUGGGAACUUGUUGUGGGUGGAGAGCCUCUCCGGAGGCUGUGUGUUCCCAGUGCAGCAGAGAUGCCUGCCCGCCCAGGGAAGGGCCCCUCUCUGCCCCAGGACAGCUGUAACCCUACCCACCCCUGUAUAAAAGCCCCUGGUCACCCCUUACCCUUCCCGGUCGAUGUGUGGCAGGGUCGGCUUGGGCGUGUGUCUCAGCUU